rnacentral:rRNA from 1 species
AUACGUAGGGGGCAAGCGUUAUCCGGAUUUACUGGGUGUAAAGGGAGCGUAGACGGAAGGUCAAGUCUGAUGUGAAAGCCCGCGGCUCAACUGCGGGACUGCAUUGGAAACUGGUCAUCUGGAGUGCAGGAGGGGUAAGCGGAAUUCCCGGUGUAGCGGUGAAAUGCGUAGAGAUCGGGAGGAACGCCAGUGGCGAAGGCGGGUAACUGGACUGCAACUGACGCUGAGGCGCGAAAGUGUGGGGAGCAAACAGGAUUAGAUACCCUGGUAGUCCACACUGUAAACGAUGAAUGCUAGGUGUAGGAGGUAUCGACCCCUUCUGUGCCGCAGUAAACACAGUAAGCAUUCCGCCUGGGGAGUACGGUCGCAAGAUUAAAACUCAAAGGAAUUGACGGGG